rnacentral:rRNA from 1 species
CCUACGGGAGGCAGCAGUGGGGGAUAUUGCACAAUGGGGGGAACCCUGAUGCAGCGACGCCGCGUGAGUGAAGAAGUAUUUCGGUAUGUAAAGCUCUAUCAGCAGGGAAGAAGAAAGACGGUACCUGAGUAAGAAGCCCCGGCUAACUACGUGCCAGCAGCCGCGGUAAUACGUAGGGGGCAAGCGUUAUCCGGAUUUACUGGGUGUAAAGGGAGCGUAGACGGUAUGGCAAGUCUGAAGUGAAAGCCCCGGGCUCAACCUGGGAAUUGCUUUGGAAACUGUUAAACUAGAGUGCUGGAGAGGCAGGCGGAAUUCCUAGUGUAGCGGUGAAAUGCGUAGAUAUUAGGAGGAACACCAGUGGCGAAGGCGGCCUGCUGGACAGUAACUGACGUUGAGGCUCGAAAGCGUGGGGAGCAAACAGGAUUAGAUAC